CCAAGGUCCCCGCGCGGCGGUACCUUUCCGAACCCCCCCAGGGCGGAGACGCAGCAAGGGUAGGAGAGCUCUUCUGGGUGCGCGGGGACCCCUGACG
rnacentral:SRP_RNA from 1 species